rnacentral:tRNA from 1 species
GCCGGGGUGGUGGAAUUGGCAGACACGUACGGUUGAGGGCCGUAUGCUUUAUGGCAUGCGGGUUCAAAUCCCGCCCCCGGCA